rnacentral:misc_RNA from 1 species
GAUGAAGAACGUAGCGAAAUGCGAUAAGUAAUGUGAAUUGCAGAAUUCAGUGAAUCAUCGAAUCUUUGAACGCACAUUGCGCCCCCUGGUAUUCCGGGGGGCAUGCCUGUUCGAGCGUCAUUUCACCACUCAAGCCUCGCUUGGUAUUGGGCAACGCGGUCCGCCGCGUGCCUCAAAUCGACCGGCUGGGUCUUCUGUCCCCUAAGCGUUGUGGAAACUAUUCGCUAAAGGGUGUUCGGGAGGCUACGCCGUAAAACAACCCCAUUUCUAAGGUUGACCUCGGAUCAGGUAGGGAUACCCGCUGAACUUAAGCAUAUCAAUAAGCGGAAGA